rnacentral:snRNA from 1 species
GUGCAGCACAUGUACUAAAAUUGGAACGAUACCAAAAAGAUUAGCAUGGCCCCUGAGGAAGGAUGAAAAAGUUUAGGAUGUUGUGAUCUAAAAUAUU